UUCAGUCCUUGUCUAAUCUAAAGUGGUUGAAUACGAUUUGAAAUUUUAAUUGCUUAAGAAAUUAUGGGGGUGAGAAAGCUAUGGUGUGUCUUUUUUCUUCUUUGUCUCUUGACGUUGGUCAUGAGCAGACCUCAAGAUGACUAUGAUGAUGACAGCGAGUUUAAUGCUGAUGACAGGAAAGAUGAUGUCGGCCGAGUGCAAAUAAAAGUCUACAGAGGUCCUACAAAACACGAUGGCUACGCUCCUUGGGGGUUUUGGGUUAAACAGCCGUCUGACGAGGAAUAAAAAAUAUGUUUUAAUUUCAAUUCAGGCACCAAUUAGUUCAUAGACAAUAAUUAAAUAAAUUUUUGUAGGCAUUAAUUUUAUUGCUACGAAACUC